UGCAGCAGCAUGUUUCCACAGAUGCUUGCUGCAGAGGGAGGUUUUGCUGGACUAAUUCUGAGGGGAAAGGGUACCACUGGGAAGUUCACUGACAUAGCAGAUUCUGAAGCAGUUGGAAAAAGUGCAGUGAAUGAGAAAAUUUUCAAGAAAACACAUUUCUGUGCAUGCUUCUACCUGGCUGGGAGUACAAAGCAGUCAGUGGCCUUGGAGGGCGACUCUCGUGACAGGAGUUAAUUUUAUCAUCCCCCACAAAAUUGCAUGUGAUGCCUCAUCAAAAAAAACCUUAAGUUGGGAGUCUGUUUUAUUCUUGAAAGAAACCUUCCAGUUCUGUCUAUAAUGCUGCUACCACAUACCACUGUUACAAAGUUGCCACCAAAGAAUACAAUACAAUAUUCUUUUCUGUAACCACUGCAUCUAAUUUUGGGAUUAUGAGACUGAUUCCAGACUCACUAAGAGUAGAGAAAGGACGCCAGUGUUUCUUUUGGCUUUGGAUCAAGCAUUUGUAAGAAUCAGGGCUAGGAAAAAUGUCAAACUAGAAGACUUUAAUAGAUUACAAACAUUGGCUUUUCAAAGAUAGUAGAGGAAUACUUUCCAGAAUCAAAGCAGAAUCCUACUAUCACGGGUAUGUUGAAGAUCUAAUUGCUGGUAUUUUGUGUCAGUGAUGUCAAGUUCUGGUUCUGGAUUUGGGCUGAAGAGCCUUAAGAUCAACAGCAGACAGGAAUUCUUUAUGAUUUGUUACAGCAGUGAAUGAUGUUGGUACUUCAUUUCUGUAUAGGAAAGUAGCUUAAAAAAAAAAAUCUCUGAUAGAUGAUCUAAAGCAACAUAGUUUUUUAUAUUAAUAUUUUAGUAUUUUAUGUUAGUCUUAGCCCUCCAGACUCAGUAUGCAGUCAUUCUUUUGAACCUGUACAGACCUCAUUAGGAAAAGGGAAUGAAUCAACGUUGCUGGAGUUUGUGUGUUACGGAUUCAAAAUAUUUCACACUUGAGACAAUGACUGUUACUUUAUGUUCAUGUGACACCACUCAUGGUUGUUUCCUAGACUGUGACUUAGGCUGUCAAACACUGCAGAACUGUAAAAAUAGCUGGUAUUUAGAUUUCUGUAACUUCCUUCAGGAAGAAAGUAAAAGGGAUUGGAUUUGCUGACCCAAGUGCUGGAAACAGGAAGAGAUGUUUAGCUGAAAUGAAAUUAAAUCUAACAAAAAAGGUUUCCUUUGUUUUGCAGUAUCUCCAGUGUGUUUGGAAAGCUAAUAAAAUUCAUCUCCUUGA